rnacentral:rRNA from 1 species
UACGGAGGGAGCUAGCGUUAUUCGGAAUUACUGGGCGUAAAGCGCACGUAGGCGGCUUUGUAAGUAAGAGGUGAAAGCCCAGAGCUCAACUCUGGAAUUGCCUUUAGACUGCAUCGCUUGAAUCAUGGAGAGGUCAGUGGAAUUCCGAGUGUAGAGGUGAAAUUCGUAGAUAUUCGGAAGAACACCAGUGGCGAAGGCGGCUGACUGGACAUGUAUUGACGCUGAGGUGCGAAAGCGUGGGGAGCAAACAGG